rnacentral:rRNA from 1 species
GGGAAUCUUCGGCAAUGGGGGCAACCCUGACCGAGCAACGCCGCGUGAGUGAAGAAGGUUUUCGGAUCGUAAAGCUCUGUUGUAAGUCAAGAACGGGUGUGAGAGUGGAAAGUUCACACUGUGACGGUAGCUUACCAGAAAGGGACGGCUAACUACGUGCCAGCAGCCGCGGUAAUACGUAGGUCCCGAGCGUUGUCCGGAUUUAUUGGGCGUAAAGCGAGCGCAGGCGGUUUGAUAAGUCUGAAGUUAAAGGCUGUGGCUCAACCAUAGUUCGCUUUGGAAACUGUCAAACUUGAGUGCAGAAGGGGAGAGUGGAAUUCCAUGUGUAGCGGUGAAAUGCGUAGAUAUAUGGAGGAACACCGGUGGCGAAAGCGGCUCUCUGGUCUGUAACUGACGCUGAGGCUCGAAAGCGUGGGGAGCGAACAGGAUUAGAUACCCUGGUAGUCCACGCCGUAAACGAUGAGUGCUAGGUGUUGGAUCCUUUCCGGGAUUCAGUGCCGCAGCUAACGCAUUAAGCACUCCGCCUGGGGGAGUACGACCGCAAGGUUGAAAC